CCAAAAUCUUAAAAAGUGUAUCUGGAGAAAAUGACCAACCUUGCCUUCAAGUUGAAAAAUGUUGAAUGUAGAGAAAGGUUGUUUUUAUUAAAAAGCACCUAUGACAUAAUGGUUAAGGCUUUAACGAGUAUUAUAAUGAUCAUUUGAUUUGAACCCUCUUUUCAGCCACACCCUUCUUUCACCUGAAUGCUAAUGAAGCAUGACAAUGCCUUUGUUAAUAUUCAUUGCAAU